rnacentral:lncRNA from 1 species
AACAAAAAAAUGGAUAACAAAGGGUUUUGAACUCGGCAGUCAUGUUAUGUGAUUUUUCUUUCUCUUUUUCUCGUGCAUCACGUAUACUCUGGGGGUUAAUUUCACUCUUUUGACUCUUUUUCUACUCAAAUUUUUCGAGCAUUUUAUAGGUGUUAGAAUCUUAAGUCUCGGCAAGUGCAUUUCUUCUCUUUUUUUUUUCUUUUUUUUUAUUUUUUUUAUUUUUUUUCUUUUAAGGAACAUACAUAAUAUUUUCUUUUUGUAUGAUCUCUUAUUAUGC